GCCACGGUGGCACAAUGGCUAAGUGCUUGGCUGCUAACUGAAAGGCUGGCAGUUCAAACCUACCCAGUGGCU
rfam:Loxodonta africana unplaced genomic scaffold scaffold_65, whole genome shotgun sequence.